rnacentral:tRNA from 1 species
GGGGAUGUAGCUCAGUUGGCUAGAGCGCUUGAAUGGCAUUCAAGAGGUCGUCGGUUCGAUUCCGAUCAUCUCCA